CUUUCUGGCUCUGGAUGAGGAGUGGGCAGGGGCUGGGGUAUAGGUGCUAGGCGCUGCACUUAGAGCCUGAGUUGCACGCAGCCCUAGCGAUGCCGGUGCCGCCGCCGACUUCGCGGUGCACGAAGUGAGCACGGCAGCCAGUAGGAGGAGGAAGUGGUGGUGGUGUUGGUGCUGGUCGCGGUCGUGCUGGUUGGUGGUGCUGGUCGCGGAGGAGGAGGAGCCGCGAGGCUCUGGGCACGGCGCGUCAGGGGCGCGGCUGCGGCCGUGGUUGCGGUGACUGUACUGCGGCGGAGCCCGGCCCUGCAAGCUGCAGCGUGGGCCCCCGGCCCGGCGGGAGCGGCGGCGAGGCAGCGGGGAGGCGGGCUCCCCCUGCAGCCCGGACGGGUUCCUGACCCACACUGCUGGUGGUAUCAGAAUGUCUUCCAGACUUCUUGCCAAUAAAAAAGAAUAGAAAACAAGACUAGCAUCUGUCCAAUGGGGCUCACUCUCCAUUUUUCUCUACACACCUUUCCUUUGUGGGGAGAAGAAGAGGAGAAUAGCAUGAAAAGUGCAAAAUGUUUCAAAUUCCUGUUCAAAAUCUUGAUAAUAUCAGGAAGGCUCGCAAAAGGGUGAAAGGCAUUCUUGUGGAACUUGGGCUUGACAGCUGCAGGGAAUUGUUGAAGAAUCUUAAAAGUUUUGACCCAGGUGAAAAAUACUUCUGCAACACUUCGUGGAGUGAUGUCUCUCCUUGGGAGUCUGUGGGCAAAAGGAAGGUA
rnacentral:lncRNA from 1 species